rnacentral:rRNA from 1 species
UACAUGGGGUGCAAGCGUUGUCCGGAAUCAUUGGGCGUAAAGAGCGUGUAGGCGGCUCGAUAAGUCUGCUGUGAAAGUCCAGGGCUCAACCCUGGAAGGCCGGUGGAAACUGUCGGGCUAGAGUCCGGAAGAGGCGAGUGGAAUUCCUGGUGUAGCGGUGAAAUGCGCAGAUAUCAGGAGGAACACCAAUGGCGAAGGCAGCUCGCUGGGACGGUACUGACGCUGAGACGCGAAAGCGUGGGGAGCAAACAGG